GAUGAACGCUGGCGGCGUGCCUAAUACAUGCAAGUCGAGCGAACGGACGAGAAGCUUGCUUCUCUGAUGUUAGCGGCGGACGGGUGAGUAACACGUGGAUAACCUACCUAUAAGACUGGGAUAACUUCGGGAAACCGGAGCUAAUACCGGAUAAUAUUUUGAACCGCAUGGUUCAAAAGUGAAAGACGGUCUUGCUGUCACUUAUAGAUGGAUCCGCGCUGCAUUAGCUAGUUGGUAAGGUAACGGCUUACCAAGGCAACGAUGCAUAGCCGACCUGAGAGGGGGUCCGGCCACACGGGAAUUGGGCACCGGUCCAGACCCCUAGGGGGGGCAGAGGGGGGGAAUCUUCCGCAAGGGGGGAAAGCCUGACGGAGCAACGCCGGGGGAGUGAAGAAGGUUUUCGGAUCGGAAAACCCUUUUUUUGGGGAAGAAAAUAUGUGUAAGUAACUGGGCACAUUUUGACGGUACCUAAUCAGAAAGCCCCGGCUAACUACGG
rnacentral:rRNA from 1 species